CUUCACCGAGCCCAGGAGCAGGGGACGCUCCGGAUCACGGUCGCGGCCGUAGGCGGCCAGCAACGCCUGUGCCUC
rnacentral:antisense_RNA from 1 species